rnacentral:rRNA from 1 species
AGUGAACGCUGGCGGUAGGCCUAACACAUGCAAGUCGAACGGCAGCACAGUAAGAGCUUGCUCUUACGGGUGGCGAGUGGCGGACGGGUGAGGAAUACAUCGGAAUCUACUUUUUCGUGGGGGAUAACGUAGGGAAACUUACGCUAAUACCGCAUACGACCUACGGGUGAAAGCAGGGGAUCUUCGGACCUUGCGCGAUUGAAUGAGCCGAUGUCGGAUUAGCUAGUUGGCGGGGUAAAGGCCCACCGAGGCGACGAUCCGUAGCUGGUCUGAGAGGAUGAUCAGCCACCCUGGAACUGAGACACGGUCCAGACUCCUACGGGAGGCAGCAGUGGGGAAUAUUGGACAAUGGGCGCAAGCCUGAUCCAGCCAUACCGCGUGGGUGAAGAAGGCCUUCGGGUUGUAAAGCCAUUUUGUUGGGAAAGAAAAGCAGCAGGUUAAUACCCCGCUGUUCUGACGGUACCCAAAGAAUAAGCACCGGCUAACUUCGUG